rnacentral:rRNA from 1 species
GAUUUCUGACCUGAAACAUUUUGCCGGCCACGGUUUCGUGUGUUAGUGCUUGAUGUUCUGGUCAUCCUUUCAAUCGCUGCUUGUUUUUCUUCAUUGAUUAGCAAGUGGUAUUGAAUCUUUUACUUUGAAAAAAUUAGAGUGUUUCAAGCAGGCUAUUGCUAUGAAUACAUUAGCAUGGAAUAAUAAUUUAGGACUUCGGUUCUAUUUUGUUGGUUUCUAGGACUGAAGUAAUGAUUGAUAGGGAUAGUUGGGGGUGCUAGUAUUCAGCGGCCAGAGGUGAAAUUCUUGGAUUCGCUGAAGACUAACUUAUGCGAAAGCAUU